ensembl:lncRNA novel transcript
AUUUAGUAACCUUAGGCAAUAUCUAAUGAUAUGUGAUUUUUGUUGAUGUUUUGGUUAUAUUAUUAUCUUUACCUUUUCAGGUUUUAAGACAUUUACAUUCCAUUAUAUAAUUAAAAUUAACUGUAACUGAGACUUCAUAUUUUCUUUCUGAGUCUAAAAUUUUAUAAUUAAUAAAAUAGGCUUUAUAAUAUUAUGAUUAUGUGAAUGUUAUUUAUUACAGAAUCAAAUAGUGUAAAUAGAUCCACAGAAGAAGAAGUAUAAUGAACCUGAAAUUGCUAAACCCCUUUUAAGGAAAAUUUUCCUAGCAUAAUAUAUGAAGUCUUGGUGGGGACCAAAAAGCUGAAGAAAUCAGAGAUAAGUGCUGCACAUUCUAAGGAAAGGUGCAAGACAUCUGCGUAAGACUAGCUUUUCUCUUCUAGUCUGUAGAAAAUAAUUCUACAAAUUUUCAAAGGAAGAGAGUGAGAACAUGAUUUUUAACAGCAUGAUUGAGAUACAAUUUAUACACUAUACAAUUCACCCAUGUAUAGUGCAUGGUUCAAUGGCUUUUAAUAUAUUCACAGUUGUGCAACCAUCACAACAAUCAAUUUCAGAACAAUUUCAUUACCCCUGAAAAGAAGCUCCUCACCCCUUAGCCAUCACCUUGCUGCUAUGAACAUUUGUGUACAUGUUUUUGUGUGUACAUAUAUUUUCAUUUCUCUGGGGUCCCUGUCUAGGCAUGGAAUUUUUUGAUCACAUGGUAACUCUAUCUUUAACCUUUUGAGAAACUCCCAGACUGUUUUCCAAAGUGGCUGCAUUACUUUACACUCCCACCAUCAAUGUAUGAAGAUUCCCAUGUUCUACACCCUGGUCAACAUUUGCUAUUAUUUGUCCUAUUGAUGAUACCCCUUCUGUUGAAUGCAAAGUGGUAUCUCAUUGUGGUUUUGAUUUGCAUUUUCAAGAUGGCUGCUGAUGUCAUAAAUCUUUUCAUGUACUUAUUAUUCAUUUGUAUGUCUUCUUUGGAGAACUGUCUGUUCAGAUCUCUUGCCCAGUUUUUAAAUUGGGUUAUUUGUCACUUUGUCGUAAAAGAAAGCUGGUGGUGUUCCUGGCUUCCCACAGCCAUGUAAAAUAGCUGUAAUGCAUGGACAUGAGAAAAGAAGACUGACAUAUCAUUCCCUAAUUAGGAUAUUAUGACCUUCUGAACCUCCCAGGUCCAGGACUGCCACUGAAUUGGAAGCAGAGCCUGAGGAGACAGCCACAGUGAAAGCGGCUUGUAUACUCUUAGAGUUUGAGGGGCAUUGGUGAUGAGCUUUCCUAGGGGCCACGUGGAUAUCUGACUUUUGAUGGCUAGAGUCUUUUAGAAGAGGCCCUGCCCAUGAGUGAUGCCUGAUGGGGGCAGGAGUCCCUAGGGAUGUAGCCCCAAUUUAAAAGCUAGAGCAGAAUCAAAAGUAGUUAGCCAGAGCAUGUGUCACUUAGGCAGUGUGGGGGACAGUGCACAGGUCCCAGUCUGGAGCUCUCCAAAGAUCCCUCAAAGCAGUCCAUGAGAUAAAGAGUUUACUUUUACAUGAGCACCAAUCAAGAAAAACUUUGUCCUUUCUGUCUACCCUCCUCAGGGUACUCCACCAGCCCCCAACCUUGGAGGAUCCAGAAACAGAAGAGGAGAAGUAGCAAGCAGAGAGCAGAUACAAACAGCACUCCCUGCAAUCAUUUACCCAUUUGUGGUUCUCUAGUUGCAAGCCAGUUGCUUAUGCUGGGGUAGGGAAAGGUGCUUUGAAAUGGUUUGUUUUGAUUUAAAUUGGAUUGGAUAUUUUCACAUCUGAAAAUAAUACUGUUCUAAUACCCAAAAGUGACAAUAUAAAAGCUAUAGGGAAACUUCCUGAGGUAUUUUCCAAGAGAGCAGAAAGCAGGUCUAACAGAGAAUUUCUUAAAAUAGUGGUAGAGAAAAAGGAAACAAAUUCUUGGUUGUAUCCCAUUGAAAUUAGCCUGUUCACCUGCACACACAUACAUGUGUCUACGUAUUCUCACAGUAUUGCAUUUUUUUCUAGGUUGAUGAAAUAUCUUUAAGCUCUUUGGUCUAUGCUUCAUAAAAGAUAGCAAAAUAAAAUUUUAUGGAAUUUCCAAUAACAGAACAUAUGGCAAAGAUGGAGUCAAGCAAUAGAACCCCAGUUUGUAACUGGCAAAUUCGGCAGCAGAGUAUACAGACCUAUGGUUUGUACUUCUGCUCAGGGCUAUUAAUAUUGUAAAUGACUCUAAUAACUGACUGCUUAGCUUACAUUAUGUGAUGAAGGAUCUUCAUUCUCCUGGGCAAUCUCAGAUCUUUUAAUAAUUAUUGGUUUAAUAAGUGAAAAUAUUCAGUCAACAAAAUGGUUAUUUGAAAUAAUACCAUAUGUAGAAACAAUUUUCCAAGUUCACAUAUUAAUAUAAUAAUGUGUUAAUUACAGAAAGCUGAUUGUUUGGGUAGCGCACUCCUAGAGGCUGAAGUGCAGCAACAAUGUGGGUCAGUCCCUGAGAGCCUGAGCUCUUGCAUUUUGGUCAUGUCAAGCCCAAGAUCAAGAGAAAGCUCAUGUGGUAAAAAGCUUGGCAUGACAUCUUAGAGACCCAGAGCACGGAGGCCCUUUACAUAAACAGAACAAAUCCUUUUCAGUGCUUUUAGACCUUAACAAACAUGGGGUGAUGUACAAAACUGCACUCCCCCCACUAUAAGGCUAGCCCCCACCCUACAAACCCCUGAACUCUUUUCAGCAUUUCUUAAAUCUGUUCCAUUGAACAAUCUGCGUUCAUUGUAACAAAUACAAUCUCAUUGAAUUAGAUUCUGAAGAGACUUUAUAGUAGAGGAAAAAAGGAGACUGAUCCUGUAUUCUCUUUAGUUUAAACAAGGAACAGAGCACAGCAAAUGAGAAAUCUUGGGUGAGCUAAGUUCACUGGAAUGGGUGGGGAGGGAUGGGGAAGAGGAAGGGGGGAAAUUGGAGAGACUUGUACCAGAUAAGGAAUCCAUUUCUAGGUGUCUCAGAAACAAAAAACCCAGUGUUAAUGUCUGUGCUUUAAUUACAUGACUGUUAGGUGUCA